GGCAACGUAGCCAAGUGGUAAGGCAUCGGUCUGCAAAAUCGAUACGCAUGGGUUCGAAUCCCAUCGUUGCCUCCA
rnacentral:tRNA from 1 species